rnacentral:tRNA from 1 species
GCGAGAGUGGUGGAACUGGUAGACACGCCAGACUUAGGAUCUGGUGCCUCUGGCAUGGGGGUUCAAGUCCCCCUUCUCGCA